rnacentral:rRNA from 1 species
CAGUCGCCGCGGUAAUACGAAGGGGGCUAGCGUUGCUCGGAAUUACUGGGCGUAAAGGGAGCGUAGGCGGAUGUUUAAGUCAGAGGUGAAAGCCCAGGGCUCAACCUUGGAACUGCCUUUGAUACUGGACAUCUUGAGUGUGGGAGAGGUAAGCGGAACUCCGAGUGUAGAGGUGAAAUUCGUAGAUAUUCGGAAGAACACCAGUGGCGAAGGCGGCUUACUGGCCCAUUACUGACGCUGAGGCUCGAAAGCGUGGGGAGCAAACAGGAUUAGAUACCCCGGUAGUCCCUGUCUCUUAUAC